rnacentral:rRNA from 1 species
UACAGAGGUCUCAAGCGUUGUUCGGAUUCAUUGGGCGUAAAGGGUGCGUAGGCGGCGCGGUAAGUCGGGUGUGAAAUCUCGGGGCUUAACUCCGAAACUGCAUUCGAUACUACCGUGCUUGAGGACUGGAGAGGAGACUGGAAUUUACGGUGUAGCGGUGAAAUGCGUAGAUAUCGUAGGGAAGACCAGUGGCGAAGGCGGGUCUCUGGACAGUUCCUGACGCUGAGGCACGAAGGCCAGGGGAGCAAACGGG